GGCCCCGCCUGGUCCCUCCAUCCACCGACUCGGGCCGAGGUUGUUCAGAGGUCGGACAAGGUGCUAUGUAUGGAAAGUGGUGGUGACCUCGCCAAGUACACAACCAGGAUCAAGACCCAAACGUGACGGGGAAAAAAAGAUAAAAAUCAUCAAAACAGAAAUUAAUUCACUGGCUUUAAAUUAGCAUGCUUUUCAAAAAAAUAAAGUUUCAAAACAUUCCCCAUACUUA
rnacentral:lncRNA from 1 species